rnacentral:rRNA from 1 species
CAGCAGCCGCGGUAAUACAGAGGGUGCGAGCGUUAAUCGGAAUUACUGGGCGUAAAGCGUGCGCAGGCGGUUAUAUAAGACAGAUGUGAAAUCCCCGGGCUCAACCUGGGAACUGCAUUUGUGACUGUAUAGCUAGAGUACGGCAGAGGGGGAUGGAAUUCCGCGUGUAGCAGUGAAAUGCGUAGAUAUGCGGAGGAACACCGAUGGCGAAGGCAAUCCCCUGGGCCUGUACUGACGCUCAUGCACGAAAGCGUGGGGAGCAAACAGGAUUAGAUACCCCAGUAGUCCCUGUCUCUUAUAC